rnacentral:rRNA from 1 species
UAGGGAAUUUUGCACAAUGGGCGCAAGCCUGAUGCAGCAAUGCCGCGUGAGUGAAGAAGGCUCUUGGGUUGUAAAGCUCUUUCGGCUGGGAAGAAGGGGUUGUCCGCGAACAGUUGACAACUUUGACGGUACCAGAAGAAGAAGCACCUGCUAACUUCGUGCCAGCAGCAGCGGUAAUACGAAGGGUGCAAGCGUUGUUCGGAAUUACUGGGCGUAAAGCGCGCGUAGGUGGGUCUGUAAGUCGAUUGUGAAAGCCCUGGGCUCAACCUGGGAAUGGCAGUCGAAACUACAGAUCUUGAGUGCCUGAGAGGAUGGCGGAAUUCCCGGUGUAGUAGUGAAAUACGUAGAUAUCGGGAAGAACACCUGAGGCGAAGGCGGCUAUCUGGUGGUGCACUGACACUGAGGCGCGAAAGCGUGGGGAGCAAACAGG